UACUGCUGCACCACACUGACCAGAGACAUCCAGCCACCAGAACACACUGACCACCUAAAACAAUGGCAGACAAACCCGACAUCUCAGAAGUCACCAAAUUUGACAAAUCCAAGCUGAAGAAGACAGAGACACAGGAGAAGAAUCCCCUGCCCACAAAAGAAACCAUCGAACAGGAGAAGCAGGAGUCGUAGUGAAGCCCCUCCCUCCCGUCAUGCACUGUACACCCCUCCUCCUCCUCCCGCAUUGCCUUGUUUUCAGUCACUUCUUUUAGCCGUAUAACUUUGUAACCGAAAUUAUGAAA